AUUGAACGCUGGCGGCAUGCCUUACACAUGCAAGUCGAACGGCAGCAUGAUCUAGCUUGCUAGAUUGAUGGCGAGUGGCGAACGGGUGAGUAAUACAUCGGAACGUGCCCUGUAGUGGGGGAUAACUAGUCGAAAGAUUAGCUAAUACCGCAUACGACCUGAGGGUGAAAGUGGGGGACCGCAAGGCCUCAUGCUAUAGGAGCGGCCGAUGUCUGAUUAGCUAGUUGGUGGGGUAAAGGCUCACCAAGGCGAGGAUCAGUAGCUGGUCUGAGAGGGCGAUCAGGCACACUGGGACUGAGACACGGCCCAGACUCCUACGGGAGGCAGCAGUGGGGAAUUUUGGACGAUGGGGGGCAGCCCUGAUCCAGCAAUGCCGCGUUUGUGAAGAAGGCCUUCGGGUUGUAAAGCACUUUUGUCCGGAAAGAAAUCGCACUUACUAAUAUUAGGUGUGGAUGACGGUACCGGAAGAAUAAGGACCGGCUAACUACGUGCCAGCCGCCGCCGUAAGAC
rnacentral:rRNA from 1 species